AACGCACAUUGCGCCCGCCAGUAUUCUGGCGGGCAUGCCUGUUCGAGCGUCAUUUCAACCAUCAAGCCCCUGUGCUUGUGUUGGAGCCCUGCGGCUGCCGCAUACUCCCAAACCCAGUGGCGGGCUCGUCGUCGUACCGAGUGCAGUAAAUUUACCACGCUCAGGGCACGCGACGGGUAACCGGCCGUAAAACCCCCCCCUUCUCAAGGUUGACCUCGGAUCAGGUAGGAAUACCCGCUGAACUUAA
rnacentral:misc_RNA from 1 species